GGAGGACUUGGGCUUAGCUCCAGUACCAGGAGAGGAGACCGAGGUCUCCAGGCUAUGGGGCACCAGAGCAGGCUGAAGAAGAGCACAGACUCCUGGAAGGGGAGACGUUCAGUGUGAACUGCUCCUACAAGUCCCAGGAAGAUAAACAUAGAUGGAUGUCUUGGUGUAAAAAGCAAGAGAAUGGAGAGUACUGUGUUGUACCACCCUUAGAAAAAAGCCCCAAGGUUUCCCUGUCAGACAAUGAAUACUUCUCCUCUUCAUGACAAUAGUAGCAUCAUCACUAUCACUAUCACAAAGUUGAGGCUCACAGUAAAGGAUUCAGGUGUCUGUGAGUGUGUGAUCCUUGAAGAAUCUCCUAAGACAGUCCCUGAAGAAUUUCCUAAGAGUGAAAAAGCCAUCCUCAGGAGAUUUCACCUGGUGGUGUCCUCAGUUGAAACACAGAGCCCCACGAAAGGGAUACAAACUACUACGGAGGUCAUUUCCAACAAUCCGGCCACCAACAACAGUUCCUCAGAAAAGAAAUUAAGCAUUUUGGGUGUGGUUCUUUCUUGCCUGCUCCUAUUGGUGCUCCUUGUUGUGGGCAUCAUUUGUACCAGGAGGAUCUACCAGAAAGCCAGGAAAGAGCUCUGCAAUGAAGAUGGACAGUGAUGAGAAUGCUGAGGACAUCCAUUAUGCCACAGUGUCCAACAGAAGCCCCAGAGAGCUGAUCAAUACCAAAACUCAUACUCCUGCUGAAGCUGUGGAAUAUGCUACCAUAACAAGGAACUGAUGGCAGCUGCCCAAAUCAAAUGCUCCUCAGAAUCCAAUGUGGAAGGACUAGGAGAGUUCACUACCAGCAAUGUUGGUGAAUCAUGUCUCCUCCAGCAAAGAAGUGAUAGAACAAAAAUGUAUGGAAAUGAGAAAUAUGUUAUUAGACAAGGACCAUGUAUAGAUUUGUUUUGCUUAGCUAUAUUUCUUUGUUGGGAGGAAGAGUUUUAUAGGAUUUUUUUUUGAGGGGGGUAGUAAGAAGUGGUAGCAUUCUAAAAAAGCCCAGUAUGAAUAAAACAUCUUUUUUAUGUAUUAAGCA
rnacentral:lncRNA from 1 species